AUACGGAGGGCGCGAACGUUGCUCGGAAUCAUUGGGCGUAAAGCGCACGUAGGCGGCCUGAUAAGUCGGAUGUGAAAGCCCACGGCUCAACCGUGGAAGUGCAUUCGAAACUGUCAGGCUUGAGUAUGGGAGAGGGUUGCGGAAUUCCCGGUGUAGAGGUGAAAUUCGCAGAUAUCAGGAGGAACACCAGCGGCGAAGGCGGCAGCCUGGACCAAUACUGACGCUGAGGUGCGAAAGCGUGGGGAGCAAACAGGAUUAGAUACCCCAGUAGUCC
rnacentral:rRNA from 1 species